AUAUUAAAAAAGGGUUUUCAAGACUUUUGUUUUUACUUUGUUUUAUACAUUUUAUCAACCUAUUUAUUUAUUAUAAAUUGUAAGACACAUCAGCUGCUGGAGAGGAGAGGUUUCUGACAUUUUCUCUGUUUCUCGUCAGUUAUACCAAAGAAAAGUUCAAAAACUGCGACAGAUUGCUUAAGUAACAUAUGUUAAUAUUAUCCACAGUUUACUUUAAGUACUUUUGUUAAUAUUUAUACCUCUGUGAUUAUGGUAUCUUUCCUUAAUUAUCUGAAAUGUGAAAUGUCUGCUAGCAAAUAUUACGCUAGCGUAGAAACAUAAUUAUAGCAUACUAGAUUUGAGCUCUUAUUAAUGAAAGUUUGGGCUUUUAAUGACAUCUUAUGAGAAAAGGAGCGGUUUUGAUAGCUUUGUAAAUGUUUUUGCUGAUAAUUUGUCAAUAGAUAAAUGGAAGUAAGCUAAGUAAUUUAACCUAAAAGUCUGCACUGUAGAGUCUAUCAGUGACGUCACUUGCAUGCAGUCUAAAAUGGGCUGAAACUAUUUCAAACCACUGUUUCAAACACGUUUUGAUUUUUCAUUGUAAACAAAUAUUGAUAUAAAUUGUACUGUGAUUUCAGUAGUGUCUAAAAAGCCCUCUAAGACAGAGGGGAAGUUCCAAGAAAAUUUCUAAUGGGAGCUGCUAAAAGAGAUUUAGAAAACACAGGUGAUUCGAGAAAGCUUAUUGUGCUUCACGCCGAGGUUAACAACACCAAGCUGCGGCAGACACAGACACUAAAGAGGGACUUCAGGAGCCUGAUCGAGACGGUGUGCAGCAUAUCGCCUGCACGAUGAUCAUCAUCUCAGCACCUCUUCCCAUGUAUAGAUGAGGACACGAAAGGUUCAGUAGACUUUUUGCUUUAAAUGAAUGGUUAUUGUCAUGGUGUAAAGAACAGAAACUGCUUUUUGUUAACAUUUGGAAUCUGUUCUGGGAGCGUCCUAGGCUUUUUAGUGCUGAUGGCCUGCACCCCAGCAGAGUCGGAGCAGAACUUCUCUCGGACAACAUCUCCAGGACUCUACGCUCCAUAUGACUAGGCAGUUUGUGAAGACAGAUAAUCAAGAGAUGUGACAAACUGUACAGAAGUCAGUUCCAGAUCCACCCUCUACACCAGACCUCUCUCUCAUAUGGAUUGCUGUCUACUAGCAUAUUGUUUUCUCUUCAGACUUCGGUGGAUGCAGAUAUUACUCAGGGACAUGAAUACUUGAAUAUUGCAAGAAUAGAGAAAGUAAGAAUUACAUAAGAUUUAAGAAUUUAAUGUUAAUUGCUUAAACUAUAUAUUAUACAUACAGUACAGACCAAAAAUACAGAAAAAAACAGUAAUAUUGUGAUAUAUUAUUACAAUUUAAAAUAAUUGUUUUUAAAUUUAUUAUACUUUAAAUGAUAAUUUAUUUAUGUGAUGCAAAACUGAAUUUUUAGGAUCAUUAUCACAUGAU
ensembl:lncRNA